GAUCUGAAAUAGAAAUGGGUUUCAGAGACCAAAAAAGCUGUGGGAAUGCCCCUGGGAGACAUAUGUGGUGUCCAACAGGCUCAUCUUCCUUUCUGUACUUUUGCAUGCACUGAUCUCCUGGGACUAGGACCUCAUCUGCAGUAGCUUGGGGAUGCCAAGACCUGAUAGGUGCUUAUACCGAAAUCUCCAAUCCUAUCCAUAAAGGAAGUCAUUUCUGUGGCUUUAAGGAUCCUGCUCAGCAACCCUCAGCCCUGCCACUGCUUCUUCUGAUCUAGAGGCCAAAGUCAUGGACCAAUCACUCCUGUGUCAAGCAGGCUCUGGAAUCUACAGAGUGACAGAGACAGAAUGAAGAGAGAAGAGAGGAUGGAGGAGUGCUGCAAGUGAUAGGAGACAGAGCUCUGAUUCUGAGCUGUGCUGUGGACUGGACAUUGGAGCCUUAGAGAUGGUCUCCUUUGGUGGACAGAGGAGCAGGGAGUUGAGAUGGACCAGCACCGAGUUCAAGACCAUCCAGCAGCCAAUGGCUGAAACCUCUCAGGAGCUCUAGUCACCUCAAAUAUCUGCAAACACUAUGGUCAGUGGGACCAAUGGGUCCUGAACUUCCCAGGAGGUGCCAGUGCCUGGACAAUUGGACAAACACACACUCAGGCUUUCUCUUGGAGCCCAGGAUGUCCCCAGAAGCUGCUGAAAACUGAAGCUUACAUCCCAGAGGAACCCAGAAAGGAAAGGAAUCUCAUCUUGAGGAUGCCUUGCAGUACAAUGCCCUUCAGCCAAAGCCCUAGAAGGAACCUGAAAUACACCACUGGGGACCCUCAUACUGUCCCUGUGGACUCAUGCACUGGGACUAUGCCCUGCAUGCCUAGGCACUUUGAAGUCUUGGCUGUGGUGAUCAUCCCUCAUUUUGUUCUUUCUCUCUGAAAUGAUUUAAAGGUUCUUGAAUAAAAAAAAAUUCUUUGUGUAA